rnacentral:rRNA from 1 species
CGCGCGCAGGNGGUUUUUUAAGUCUGAUGUGAAAGCCCACGGCUCAACCGUGGAGGGUCAUUGGAAACUGGGAGACUUGAGUGCAGAAGAGGAAAGUGGAAUUCCAUGUGUAGCGGUGAAAUGCGUAGAGAUUUGGAGGAACACCAGUGGCGAAGGCGACUUUCUGGUCUGUAACUGACGCUGAUGCGCGAAAGCGUGGGGAGCAAACAGGAUUAGAUACCCUGGUAGUCCACGCCGUAAACGAUGAGUGCUAAGUGUUAGGGGGUUUCCGCCCCUUAGUGCUGAAGCUAACGCAUUAAUCACUCCGCCUGGGGAGUACGGUCGCAAGACUGAAACUCAAAGGAAUUGACGGGGGCCCGCACAAGCGGUGGAACAUGUGGUUUAAUUCUAAGCAACGCGAAAAACCUUACCAGGUCUUGACAUCCCGUUAACACCUGAAAAAAUAUGGUUCCCCCUUCGGAGCCAACGGACACGUGUGGCGUGGGUGUCUCCUCCUCUCGUGUCGAGAUGUNNGGUUAAAUCCCGCAACNAGCGCAANCCUNNNGAUUANAUNNGACAUUNNUUUUNUGNGCUCUCUGGNGNGAGUGCCGGAGACACNNCAGAAGANGGUGGAGAAGACNUCAUCUCAUCGCGCCUCUUGAGAUGUGCGCUACACNCGUGCUACNGUG